rnacentral:rRNA from 1 species
AUUGAACGCUGGCGGCAGGCCUCACACAUGCAAGUCGAGCGAGCGGCGGACGGGUGAGUAAUGUCUGGGAAACUGCCUGAUGGAGGGGGAUAACUACUGGAAACGGUAGCUAAUACCGCAUACCAUCAGAUGUGCCCAGAGGGGAUUGGCUAGUAGGUGGGGUAACGGCUCACCUAGGCCACGAUCCCUAGCUGGUCUGAGAGGAUGACCAGCCACACUGGAACGUAGACACGGCCCAGAAGCCUACGGGAGGCAGCAGUGGGGAAUAUUGGGAAAUGGGGGGAACCCUGAUCCAGCCAGGCCGGGUGUGUGAAUAAGGCCUUAUGGUUGUAAAGCAAUUUAAGCGAGGAGGCGUUACUCGCAGAAUAAGCACCGGCUAACUCUGUGCCAGCAGCCGCGGUAAUAC